rnacentral:rRNA from 1 species
AUGGUAGGAUAGAGGCCUACCAUGGUGGUAACGGGUAACGGGGUGUUAGGGCACGACACCGGAGAGGGAGCCUGAGAAACGGCUACCACAUCCAAGGAAGGCAGCAGGCGCGCAAAUUACCCAAUCCCGACACGGGGAGGUAGUGACAAUAAAUAACAAUACAGGGUUCUUUGAAUCUUGUAAUUGGGAUGAGUACAAUUUAAAUCUCUUAACGAGGAACAAUUGGAGGGCAAGUCUGGUGCCAGCAGCCGCGGUAAUUCCAGCUCCAAUAGCGUAUAUUAAAGUUGUUGCAGUUAAAAAGCUCGUAGUUGAAUUUCGGGAUCAAUACGUCGGUCGUGCUUUCGGGUACGUACUGGCGUCAUUGGUUUCUCCUUUCUGACGAACCAUGAUGUCAUUAAUUUGGUGUUAUGGGGAGUUAGGACUGUUACUUUGAAAAAAUUAGAGUGUUUAAAGCAGGCAUUAGCUUGAAUACAUUAGCAUGGAAUAAUGAAAUAGGACGUUCGAUCCUAUUUUGUUGGUUUCUAGGAUCAACGUAAUGAUUAAUAGGGAUAGUUGGGGGCAUUAGUAUUCAAUUGUCAGAGGUGAAAUUCUUGGAUUUAUUGAAGACUAACUACUGCGAAAGCAUUUGCCAAGGAUGUUUUCAUUAAUCAAGAACGAAAGUUAGGGGAUCGAAGACGAUCAGAUACCGUCGUAGUCUUAACCAUAAACUAUGCCGACUAGGGAUCGGAUGAUGUUAAUUUUUUAAUGACUCAUUCGGCGCCUUACGGGAAACCAAAGUGUUUGGG